GGCGGCACGCCUAACACAUGCAAGUCGAGCGCUUCCCUUUGGGGAGGAGCGGCGGACGGGUUAGUAACGCGUGGGAACAUACCCUUUUCUACGGAAUAGCCUCGGGAAACUGAGAGUAAUACCGUAUACGCCCUUCGGGGGAAAGAUUUAUCGGUUAAGGAUUGGCCCGCGUUAGAUUAGAUAGUUGGUGGGGUAAUGGCCUACCAAGUCUACGAUCUAUAGCUGGUUUGAGAGGAUGAUCAGCAACACUGGGACUGAGACACGGCCCAGACUCCUACGGGAGGCAGCAGUGGGGAAUCUUAGACAAUGGGCGCAAGCCUGAUCUAGCGAUGCCGCGUGAGUGACGAAGGCCUUAGGGUCGUAAAGCUCUUUCACCAGGGAUGAUAAUGACAGUACCUGGAAAAGAAACCCCGGCUAACUCCGUGCCAGCAGCCGCGGUAAUACGGAGGGGGUUAGCGUUGUUCGGAAUUACUGGGCGUAAAGCGCACGUAGGCGGAUUAGUAAGUUAGAGGUGAAAUCCCAGGGCUCAACCCUGGAACUGCCUUUAAUACUGCUAGUCUUGAGUUCGAGAGAGGUAAGUGGAAUUCCGAGUGUAGAGGUGAAAUUCGUAGAUAUUCGGAGGAACACCAGUGGCGAAGGCGACUUACUGGCUCGAUACUGA
rnacentral:rRNA from 1 species